rnacentral:tRNA from 1 species
GGUAAUAUAGUAUAGCGGUUAAGAUCACCGGCUUUAGCAUCAGUCCGUGGGAUCAAAUCCCACUUUUAUCA